rnacentral:pre_miRNA from 1 species
ACCCUUCUGUAUCCGUGCUGAGAUUUCAUCACACACCAGACCACAAGGGCUGAUGAGACUUCCAAGAUAAGUGAAGUG